CCCUUAGAUGUUCGGGGCCGCACGCGCGCUACACUGAAGGAAUCAGCGCGUCUUUCUCCUUGUCCGAAAGGACUGGGUAACCCGCUGAACCUCCUUCGUGCUAGGGAUUGGGGCUUGUAAUUCUUCCCCAUGAACGAGGAAUUCCCAGUAAGCGCGAGUCAUGAGCUCGCGUUGAUUACGUCCCUGCCCUUUGUACACACCGCCCGUCGCUACUACCGAUUGGAUGGUUUAGUGAGAUCCUCGGAUUGGUCCCGGCGCGGCCUCUGGUCGUGCCGGAGUGCCGAAAAGAAUGUCGAACUUGAUCAUCUAGAGGAAGUAAAAGUCGUAACA
rnacentral:rRNA from 1 species